GUUGAUUGGUUUUGAGAUAUAACCACGCUAUACUAAGUGUAUAUUCACAUAUUCCAUUCUCAAGUGUUCGAGGAUUUUCAUACUUAAAGACGAUACUUUUGGAGUUUGUCCGGGAAAAACUGCUCUGCUUUUGGUCGUGAGAGUUGCGGUAGACACAAUGAACGAUAAAAUACCCAGUGUUUUUAGGACGACUGAUGGAGAACAGCUCGAGUAGAAUUGCUAAGACCGCUAUUAUUAAAGAGAUCUGACGUCGGUGCGAACGUAUUGAUGCGAAACAAACAAAUGAAGUAAAUUGAACUAAUAUUACAAACGUAUCAGCCCAAAUCAUGUGCCUAUGCAGCAUACUUUGGUAUUUGCUCUGCCAACAAGACAACUCCAGACAAUUUUACUUGUCAUUGAUAGUGAUUUCUAGUUGAUGUGUACUGUGUAGUGGACUAUUAAUUUAAAAGUAACAUUUGGAAUAGUCAAACUGAUAUCUGUUAUUGAAUUUUCAAAUUAGCAUCCUCAAAAAACCAUUAUAUUAUAUUGUAUGGCAUUUCUGCAUGUUCAGUUGCUAGCAGUGGCAUAGCUAGCCCGACGAUUUGGACCCGCUAUGCAAAUUUCAACUCAUCAUUAUUCACUUCUUUAGAAAUUAUAACAUUGUACCAGACUACUGUAACUACAUACUUACUGAAUUUAAGACUGUUGAAGAAUAUUUAUUGUCUAUCACCAUUACAUAAUCUACACAUCAACUGGCAAUGCAUGCAGAUGCACCUACUUUCAAAUUGGCAUUUUACUCUGUCUAAAGCAAUAAAAUUUUACUCAGUGGAAGAAUACUGCUGUUAAUCGGUUAUUAACAACUAUUGAUAUCCACCCUGGGAUGGUUGUUCAUUCAAUUUGGGAUUUGCAGGGUGAAGUUCUUCAAUUGGCAGAUCUCUGACCUCACUGAGAGAGGACUGACUAGUCGUGAAAUUGGCAUGCAAAAUUGUAUGGCCUAUUGGCUCUGGGUUG